rnacentral:rRNA from 1 species
UACGUAGGGCGCAAGCGUUGUCCGGAAUUAUUGGGCGUAAAGAGCUCGUAGGCGGCCUGUUGCGUCCGCUGUGAAAACCCGGGGCUUAACCCCGGGCCUGCAGUGGGUACGGGCAGACUGGAGUGCGGUAGGGGAGAAUGGAAUUCCUGGUGUAGCGGUGGAAUGCGCAGAUAUCAGGAGGAACACCGAUGCGAAGGCAGUUCUCUGGGCCGUAACUGACGCUGAGGAGCGAAAGCGUGGGGAGCGAACAGG